AGGGCUAGAAGAGGUGCGUUAUUCAGGUAAUAAGUACGAGGAGAGCAAACUCCGUUGACCACUUAUGAGGGGAAUUAACGCCGAGAAUGCGUAUUGUUUGCUGCAAUACAAUUUCGGGCGACUGGGCUGAAUCCCAGCGACUGUCACCAAUAACAGCGAUGCUGUUGUAUGUUUGGUGGAGAGCUUCUGGUCUU
rnacentral:ncRNA from 1 species